CCAACUUAGCUCCCUGAGAGUGACUCAGCUCCCUUGGGAGGAGAGGUGUAUUAAACAUUCAAUAACUGUGUUUUUGGGGGUGGUGGCAAAUACCAGUGCUGGAAGAUACCCUACUGUUAUAACCAGCUCCCCAUUCCCUCAGCUAAAAAAUCAUCAUCCCAGAGAAGAGAGAGGCAGGAAUUUCUCUGCAAGCCAGAGAGAGAUGAACAUCAGACAUCUGGAAAGAAAAGCUGAGAAUUCUAAACAGUAAAGAGAGACCAUAUGAAUGUUGGAAAUACCAAGUGAAGAGUCAGAGAAGGCAGCGAGAGAAAGAGACUUUGAAGCCUGGUAUUUUGAAACUGUUGUUUCAAGAGGCCGAUGAGAUGAGGUUUCACUAUGUUGGUUGGGCUGGUCUCAAACUCCUGACUUCAAAUGAUCCACCUGCCUUGGCCUCCCAAAAUGCUGGGUUUACAGGCGUGAGCCACCAUGCCCAGCCACCACUGGCAUUGUGAGUACCCACAUUUUCAAACUCAGAAGUUAACUCUUAUAUUCAUUAUGUCCUUGAUGGAAUUUGAACUCUAAUCCUCCAGAAACAAAUCUCUGAGAUGGAAUAAAUAAUAAAUGCUAGUUUCACUAAUUUGAAAGCUGUGAUCACUUGAAUAGAAUCUAUUAGUUAGAAAUUCUAAACCAUCUGUAGAAAAUAAUUAUUCCUUGGGCAGACCAGACAUUGUCCUGAAAAUCGCAAGGAAAUUAAUUGUUUUCAUGUAUUCUGAAACUACUUGAACAACAGGCGCUAGCAUAUGAUUAAUGUUAAAAAUAUAAAGGUCUCAUUAAUAUUACAAAUAGAGCAUUUCACAGCCUUCUGUUGAAAACAGUUUAAUUAUAUAACACAUUAUAUAUGUGCUCAAAAUAAAGUUAACAUUUCUAU